rnacentral:rRNA from 1 species
GCAAGUCGAGCGAACAGAUAAGGAGCUUGCUCCUUUGACGUUAGCGGCGGACGGGUGAGUAACACGUGGGUAACCUACCUAUAAGACUGGGAUAACUUCGGGAAACCGGAGCUAAUACCGGAUAACAUUUGGAACCGCAUGGUUCUAAAGUGAAAGAUGGUUUUGCUAUCACUUAUAGAUGGACCCGCGCCGUAUUAGCUAGUUGGUAAGGUGACGGCUUACCAAGGCGACGAUACGUAGCCGACCUGAGAGGGUGAUCGGCCACACUGGAACUGAGACACGGUCCAGACUCCUACGGGAGGCAGCAGUAGGGAAUCUUCCGCAAUGGGCGAAAGCCUGACGGAGCAACGCCGCGUGAGUGAUGAAGGGUUUCGGCUCGUAAAACUCUGUUAUUAGGGAAGAACAAAUGUGUAAGUAACUGUGCACGUCUUGACGGUACCUAAUCAGAAAGCCACGGCUAACUACGUGCCAGCAGCCGCGGUAAUACGUAGGUGGCAAGCGUUAUCCGGAAUUAUUGGGCGUAAAGCGCGCGUAGGCGGUUUCUUAAGUCUGAUGUGAAAGCCCACGGCUCAACCGUGGAGGGUCAUUGGAAACUGGGAAACUUGAGUGCAGAAGAGGAAAGUGGAAUUCCAUGUGUAGCGGUGAAAUGCGCAGAGAUAUGGAGGAACACCAGUGGCGAAGGCGACUUUCUGGUCUGUAACUGACGCUGAUGUGCGAAAGCGUGGGGAUCAAACAGGAUUAGAUACCCUGGUAGUCCACGCCGUAAACGAUGAGUGCUAAGUGUUAGGGGGU